AAGACUGGGUUCUAGAUUUGCAUGUGUGUUCUCUAUUGUGAGGUCAUUGUGGAGAGAAGCGUUGGCCAUUGUGAGGUCACUGUAGAAUCCCAUCUAUUGUGAAGUCAGUGUGGAACAUCUACCAUUGUGUUGUCACAGUCGAAUAAUGACCAUUGUGAAGUCAUAGUGGAAAGGUUUCCAUACCAUGCUUGUGGGUCAUGCGCUCCACCUAUCCCAAAGUUAUGGUGAUGGUGUCUGGCUUUUUUCAUAGUAUUUUUUCAUUCUCUACUUGAUCCUACUUGAACUAUCCUCAACUAUAAUGUGGAAUCCUUCUCUAUGGACCAGAUAAUCCCUAAUUACAUGUAUGAACAGUGUAACUGUCCUCAAUGUUUAAUUUUACACAGAAUUGUAUAAUCCUCAAAAUGUGUGCAUUCACAUGGGUGUGCUUGUAACAUAUACUGGAGUGAGAGAGGUCUGCUAUGAAUUGUUUAUUUUAUUAUUUUGUUUGUGGAAACAUUUUCGUAUCAAAGACUUUGAAUUUGUAUUGGGUGUGAGAAAUGUAUCCUACAUUUCCCAUCUACCACUGAGCUUGGUGUCAGACGUGGAUUGGCUUGUUCAUUUUCAAGUUUUCUUUGCACACGCACCUUCAACCCGAUUCGAUGUCCGGUGCUUUCAUUUGCAUACAAAAAGCGCGAAGCCAAUCGCUGACGUGUCAUGAAAACCUUUCCGAAGAAUUCCACCAAUGUCGGGGCCCAUAGUAUUUACAUAUUUGAGUGAUAAGCCAAUCGCAGUGUGGACCAAGACAGAAGUUUACACUGAAUUGCCCAAUGGUCAAAGGCGAGGGCAGAGUUUAGGGUCCGCAUAUUAUUAACAUGUUAUUAGCGGAGGUGUUUUAGAUAUCGAUCCGGUAUUUCGUGUUAGUUACAAACUCGCGCCUUCUUCCUUCAGGUCAAUACAUUCCAAUUCUUCUUACGUCAAAACAAGUGAGAUAAAUCGGUUAAACAUGCCCAAGAGGAAGUCUCCAGAGGGUGCUGAGGGAAACACAAAAGUUACAAAACAUGAACCCUCCAGGCGAUCGGAGCGGUUGUCUUCAAAACCUGCCCCUCCCAAAGAUGAGCCUAAGGCCAAGAAACCUGUCGUAAAGAAGCCAGCAGAUGACAAAUCUGUGAAAGGAAAGAAGGGAGCGGCCAAGGCCAAGAAGGAGGAGAAGGAGGUGGUGCCUGCUGAGAAUGGAGAGACCAAUGCAGAGGAGGAAACUGAGGCUGCUGAGGCGGAAGCUGAAGAGAAGGAAUGAGUGAUGACUCUGAACUUUUCCGUGGGUUUUCUUGGGGAAAGAAAAAAGAAUGUUUUUUAUUGCGUAUUUUGUAAACCGCUUUUUUUUUUUUUUUGAUUUGUCGUAAUAGGUCAGCCUCCUCCCAACGGUUUGUCUCCUACACUUGCCACGCAGGAUACGAGAUUGACAACACACAAAAAAAACCUCACUGUUCCAUCAUGUUUUCAUUGGUUACCAGUGCAAACAUUGGCAUAGGUCCUCACAGGGACAGUCAUAUCCUAUGAUACCAAUGUAUCAUAUCAAUGACUACACUUCCCAUGAUGCCAGAUGUCAGCCAACCAGCAGAGGAAAUGACCUGUGAUUGGAGGAUGGUUAGUGCUUAGGAUAGCUGUGACUUCUUUUUCUUCUUUCUCUUUUUCGUUUUUUUUGUUUUUUUUCAAAGAGAGAACUCUGUGAAGAAGUGAGAUGAGACUUAGAGAUGAAGUAGCGUGAGAGAAACCUGCAUUUGGUUUUGUUGAUUUUGUGUUUUACUGUGUCUGUGUAGAGGGUGUGGGGGUUUGUCCUUUUUUUUUCUUUUUUUAAGACUCUUUAGUGAUGUGUGACCCUUGACCCCUGGCAUAUCGCCAUAGCAAUAAAGGAGUGGUGGUUUGUGCUGGACGGUUACUU
rnacentral:lncRNA from 1 species